AUGGCAAUGGCACCCACCUGAGAGAUGCCAGAGCCCACCUGAGAGGUGCUGAAACUGAGUUCUAGCAAGUUCUGGCCUGCUUCCAAGUUCCUUAGUAGGCAGAAGAAUAAAGAGGAAUCAGGCCAUUUUUGUAUUAGAAUUCUAAGGAUCUCAAGCAAAGACAUUUGUCCCUGUUCAGUUUUAUCAACAGUUGUAUCAUAUUGAUCAUGCUGACUGACUGACUGACUGACUGAAGGUAUACCUUAAUUUCCUAAGUUUGCAAGCGGUGUACAUAAACAUUAUAGAGAGCGUGCAAUGAAGACAACGAACAGAAAAGUUCCCAAAAAUAGCUGCUGAAAAAUAAUGGUCUUUGUCAGGCACCAGAAGUUCAGUGGAGAAUUGGCCUGUCUAAUCUCAGCUGGGAGGGAGGGUUACGGACUCGGAAAUAUGUUUAUAUAACUAUGUUAUGCAUGUUAAGAAGUGGACCCUUGAACGGUUGGCAGCAUACAGAGAGAAACAGAAGGAUUUUUGCACCCAUCUCUACUCAAAGAAGUUAUGAGAGAGUAGAGACCACUGCCCUCUCAUCCCAGCACCAAGACAUGACUCGUUUUAUGAAACUGCAUCGCACCAGUGCUGCUGUCUUGUCACCCAGCAAAAUGGGCAAAAAGAAGCAACCAAUAUUUUGAUCCCGGUCCUUCAUAAGAAUUUGUGCACUAAUCACCUACCUCUUACACCCAAGCUAUUUCAUCAAUUGACCCCAAUCUAAUUACUCAGCAACCGUGUCUCUACCAUUUACAAGGUCCUCCUCCCACCUCUCCCUUAGCUUGGUCCUACCAACAGACAUAAAUCUUUAAACACAGAAGAGGAAUAUCUUCAGGCUCCAGGCUCCAAACUUGAAUAUGAUAUGCAUAUUAAGACCUGCCUAUUGUGAGGUUCAUCCACCCAAGACGUUAGUCAACAGAUUUUGGAGAUUAGCUCUCUCUUUGGAUUAAAAACUAAUAUGGAACUCAAAUACUUAAAGAUAAAUCUUUAAUGUUCUCCCAAUGAAUCAUUGACCAUUGUGAACUGCAUGAAUCUGGGCCUUUGUUUCCAAUUCUGUCCCCUUGCUGCCAUGCAUUAUGUUUGCCACUAGUGUCUCAACAAUGCCACAAUGCCAUUCAUUCAUCCCAGUGGCAUGUAAAGAUUGAUGAGGCAACACCAGCUUCGCAGUUUGUUUCCUAAGGCAACUUUUUCCAGUAUCUGAUCUGUAACUGCCUGAUGGAAAAGAUGUGCAAUGCCUCAUGCUGCUACUAUGCAGCUUAAGAGUUUUCAAAAGUUCAGGAGUUUAAGUAAGGCUUUUGACAUAGUCUCCCAUAAUAUUCUUGUGGAGAAGCUGGUAAAAUGUGGACUGGACGAGGUAACUAUUACGUGGAUUUUUUGCUGGAUGACUGACCGAACUCAAAGAGUGCUCACUAAUGGUUCCUCAUCAUCCUGGAAAAACGUGGCAAGUGGAGUGCCACAGGGUUCUCUCCUAGGCCCAUUGUUGUUCAGCAUCUUUAUAAAUGGGUGAAGGAAUUGAGAGGAUGCUCAUAAAAUUUGGAGACGACACCAAGCUGGAAGGGGCAGCCAAUGCCACAGAAGACAGAAUUGGGAUUCAAGAUGGCCUUGUCCAAUGAACUGGGCCUAAACCAAUGAAAAGAUUUUCAAAAUGGACAAAUAUAAGGUUCUACACCAGCAGGAAGAACCAGCUGCACAAAUAUAAGGUGGUGGACACCUGUCUUGCCAAUAGUACAUGUGAAAGGGAUACUGGGGUCUUAGUAGACCACAAGCUUAACAUGAGAACAGUGUGAUGCA